GGGUGCAUAGCCCAGUGGUAGAGUGCGAGCUUAGCACGCAUGAGGUCCUGGGUUCAAUCCCCAGUACCUCCA
rnacentral:tRNA from 1 species